CCUACGGGAGUCAGCAGUGAGGAAUAUUGGUCAAUGGCCGGAAGGCUGAACCAGCCAUGCCGCGUGAAGGUCAGUGCCCUAUGGGCGUUAAACUUCUUUUGUGCGGGAGCAAUACUGGUCACGUGUGGCCAGACGAGAGUACCGUACGAAUAGGCAUCGGCUAACUCCGUGCCAGCAGCCACGGUAAUACGGGGGAUGCAAGCGUUAUCCGGAUUUAUUGGGUUUAAAGGGUGCGUAGGCUGUGAGGUAAGUCAGCGGUGAAAUGCCCCCGCUCAACGGGGUGAAGUGCCAUUGAUACUGCCUGGCUGGAAUGCGGAUGCCGUGGGAGGAAUGUGUGGUGUAGCGGUGAAAUGCAUAGAUAUCACACAGAACACCGAUUGCGAAGGCAUCUCACGAAGCCGCGAUUGACGCUGAUGCACGAAAGCGUGGGUAUCAAACAGGAUUAGAUACCCCUGUAGUC
rnacentral:rRNA from 1 species